GAAGUAUGAUGAAUCAAAUAAAAGCCGCUAACUUUAUAUUUUAGCGGUUAAAUUCCGUUUAUAUUUCUA
rnacentral:tRNA from 1 species